rnacentral:rRNA from 2 species
UACGUAGGGGGCAAGCGUUGUCCGGAUUCAUUGGGCGUAAAGAGCUCGUAGGCGGCUUGGCAAGUCGGGUGUGAAAACUCCAGGCUCAACCUGGAGACGCCACCCGAUACUGCCAUGGCUUGAGUCCGGUAGGGGACCACGGAAUUCCUGGUGUAGCGGUGAAAUGCGCAGAUAUCAGGAGGAACACCGGUGGCGAAGGCGGUGGUCUGGGCCGGUACUGACGCUGAGGAGCGAAAGCGUGGGGAGCGAACAGG